CGGUGAGAUUGAGCUUAACGCAAUGUGUGCACGUAUGUGAAAAAGGUUUCGAAUCAAAAUGAAAAAAAAUGGGUUAAAGUUGUUAAAUAUAAAAAUGUUUAAAUAUCGUUCUCUAACAGUUUAAGUUUUUAGAGUACAACGGUUGUUUCACAUGGUAUCAGAGCAGGAGGUCCUGAGUUCGAGUCACGCCAGGUUUCUAGCAUAUUAAUUUUCUCCUAUUUAAUUCAAGCUCACGUCAUGGGCCGAUUAAAAAUUCUCGAGCCCCGACGUGAGGGGGAGUGUUAAAUAUAAAAAUAUUUAAACACCGUUCUCUAACAGUUUAAGCUUUAAUCCCGAAGGAUAAAAGAUUGGAUUGAGGAUGGAGACUCAAAAUGGAAAAU
rnacentral:lncRNA from 1 species